rnacentral:rRNA from 1 species
AUUGAACGCUGGCGGCAGGCCUAACACAUGCAAGUCGAGCGGAGGUAGCAAUACCUUAGCGGCGGACGGGUGAGGAAUGCAUCGGAACGUGCCGAGUAGUGGGGGAUAACGCAGGGAAACUCGCGCUAAUACCGCAUACGCCCCGAGGGGGAAAGUGGGGGACCGCAAGGCCUCACGCUAUUUGAGCGGCCGAUGCCCGAUUAGCUAGUUGGUGAGGUAAUGGCUCACCAAGGCGACGAUCGGUAGCUGGUCUGAGAGGAUGAUCAGCCACACUGGAACUGAGACACGGUCCAGACUCCUACGGGAGGCAGCAGUGGGGAAUAUUGGACAAUGGGGGCAACCCUGAUCCAGCCAUGCCGCGUGAGUGAAGAAGGCCUUCGGGUUGUAAAGGCUCUUUAAAGUCGGGGAGGAAGGGUACGUACGGUUAAGUAACCGUGCGAA